UGGGGAAUAUUGGACAAUGGGCGCAAGCCUGAUCCAGCCAUGCCGCGUGAGUGAUGAAGGCCCUAGGGUUGUAAAGCUCUUUCACCGGUGAAGAUAAUGACGGUAACCGGAGAAGAAGCCCCGGCUAACUUCGUGCCAGCAGCCGCGGUAAUACGAAGGGGGCUAGCGUUGUUCGGAUUUACUGGGCGUAAAGCGCACGUAGGCGGACUAUUAAGUCAGGGGUGAAAUCCCGGAGCUCAACCCCGGAACUGCCUUUGAUACUGGUAGUCUUGAGUUCGAGAGAGGGGAGUGGAAUUCCGGGUGUAGAGGUGAAAUUCGUAGAUAAUCGGAGGAACACCAGUGGCGAAGGCGGCUCACUGGCUCGUUACUGACGCUGAGGUGCGAAAGCGUGGGGAGCAAACAGG
rnacentral:rRNA from 1 species